UGCAUGAUGAGGCAGGCAUGCACGCUUGCGUGCAUAUGCUCCUGUCUCGCUGUGCUACAUGGUGCGGACCAGCUUUUUCCUGCACCAGCU
rnacentral:lncRNA from 1 species